GCUCGUAGUUGGAUUUCGGGUGGGUGUUAGCGGUCCGGCUCUGCUGUGUACUGCUAGUGCCUAUCUUUCUGUCGGGGACGGGCUCUUGGGCUUCAUUGUCCGGGACUCGGAGUCGACGUGGUUACUUUGAGUAAAUUAGAGUGUUCAAAGCAAGCGUUCGCUGUGAAUACAUUAGCAUGGAAUAACACGAUAGGACUCUGGCUUAUCUUGUUGGUCUGUAAGACCGGAGUAAUGAUUAAGAGGGACAGUCGGGGGCAUUCGUAUUUCAUUGUCAGAGGUGAAAUUCUUGGAUUUAUGAAAGACGAACUUCUGCGAAAGCAUUUGCCAAGGAUGUUUUCAUUAAUCAAGAACGAAAGUUGGGGGCUCGAAGACGAUUAGAUACCGUCGUAGUCUCAACCAUAAACGAUGCCGACUAGGGAUUGGCAGGUGUUUCGUUGAUGACCCUGCCAGCACCUUAUGAGAAAUCAAAGUUUUUGGGUUCCGGGGGGAGUAUGGUCG
rnacentral:rRNA from 1 species